rnacentral:rRNA from 1 species
AAUGAACGCUGGCGGCAUGCCUAACACAUGCAAGUCGAACGAAGCCUUCGGGCUUAGUGGCGCACGGGUGCGUAACGCGUGGGAAUCUGCCCUUGGGUUCGGAAUAACAGUUAGAAAUGACUGCUAAUACCGAAUGAUGUCGUAAGACCAAAGAUUUAUCGCCCAGGGAUGAGCCCGCGUAGGAUUAGCUAGUUGGUGUGGUAAAGGCGCACCAAGGCGACGAUCCUUAGCUGGUCUGAGAGGAUGAUCAGCCACACUGGGACUGAGACACGGCCCAGACUCCUACGGGAGGCAGCAGUGGGGAAUAUUGGACAAUGGGCGAAAGCCUGAUCCAGCAAUGCCGCGUGAGUGAUGAAGGCCUUAGGUUGUAAAGCUCUUUUACCCGGGAUGAUAAUGACAGUACCGGGAGAAUAAGCUCCGGCUAACUCCGUGCCAGCAGCCGCGGUAAU